rnacentral:rRNA from 2 species
AGGUGCGAUCAUACCAGCACUAAUGAACAGGAUCCCAUCAGAACUCCGCAGUGAAGCGUGCUUGGGCGAGAGUAGUACUAGGAUGGGUGACCUCCUGGGAAGUCCUCGUGUUGCACCUU